AAAAACCUUAUGGGUAAGGAACAAGGCGUGCAGCAUACGAAUUCCGGCCAGCAGAUGGCAGCAGAGAACAAUACAAUGAAACAACAUAGUAAAAGAAGAGAUAAUAAUACAGUGCAGGAAUUAAAUUUGAAAGAACAGCACAA